GUUUUUAUAAUGUCCGGUUAAAGUUAACCGACACUUUACUGUACAUUGUAAGAACGG
rnacentral:pre_miRNA from 1 species